rnacentral:rRNA from 1 species
GAGUUUGAUCAUGGCUCAGAACGAACGCUGGCGGCGCGUCUUAAACAUGCAAGUCGAACGGCAAGAGAAAAGCUUGCUUUUCUCCCAGAGUGGCGGACUGGUGAGUAACACGUGGGUGACAUACCUUUUAGUUGGGGAUAGCUGCUAGAAAUAGUAGGUAAUACCGAAUGUGACCGCGUCCGAUAAACGGAUGCGAGGAAAGGAGCUAAGGCUUCGCUAAGAGAUUGGCCCGCGGCCCAUUAGCUUGUUGGUGAGGUAACGGCCCACCAAGGCAAUGAUGGGUAUCCGGCCUGAGAGGGUGAACGGACACAUUGGGACUGAGAUACGGCCCAGACUUCUACGGGAGGCAGCAGUUAAGAAUAUUCCGCAAUGGACGCAAGUCUGACGGAGCGACGCCGCGUGGAUGAAGAAUGCCGAAAGGUUGUAAAAUCCUUUUAAGCCUGAGGAAUAAGCAGAGGAGGGAAUGCCUUUGCGGUGA